rnacentral:lncRNA from 1 species
AUCCUUCAUUUCUCAAAAUCUCUCACAGCUUUUCUCUCUCCAUCGCUUUGUCGCAAUCCAUGGCCUCCUCUCCAUGUCGCUUGCUGCCCACCACCGAAAUUCAAGAACCCAAGAUAUCCAUUCCAACAAAACUUAAAUCCACACCUAAUCCUCAUCUCCCAGACUCACGAGACUACCGUUUUUCGGCCAAUGUUCUAAGGUUGAAUGUUUUUCAUAUUUUUAUCUUUUUCUUUAUAAAUUUGGUUUUGAAUUUGCAGGUACUUGCCUCUAACAACCAACCACCUGCACAUCCUGACUCCGCAACCUAUAAUUUGUCGCAGUAAUGUUUUUCUUGUUCAAAAACUACCCAUAUGCUUAUUCUCUCUUAUGAAUGAUGGUGGAUGACGAUUGGGUUGCAGCUCAGUUUACAUUUGCUAGCCUUUCUCACUUUAUGGCUUAGAAAUUGGUAUCUCCCAAUCCCAGUGGCAUCGAUAUCUCUCUCGUCUCCAACCAUGGUACCACCAUCAUCUCCUGUCAACUCUCGACUCUCCCACCACGUGCACUUGACGGUCCUGACUCCUGACCACCAUCUAUGUUCUAAAUAAGGCAUGCGGUUGGGGAUUUAAGAUUGAAAUAAAUUGGGGUUUUCUAGAUUUAGGGAUUUGGAUUUGGUCAAUUCUAGACUCAAUUGUUAAUUAUAAUUUGUUUAAUUUUUGGCAAUUUGAGUGCAAAAUUAAGGUUUUAUUAUUUUAAGUGCUAACAUUAAGGCCCUUUGUCAAUUAGUAACCACUUAGUGCUUGUUUUCGAUCUGUUAUCGAAUGCAAAAUCAUGGCUUUUGAUUUUGAAUUUACAAGUCAUAAUAAGGAAUAGAUAAUUCUAGAAUCAUAAUGCAAACUUUUAAUUUUCAGUUUCAGACUUGGAUCUGUUUCAGAAUUCUAAGGAGUUUUAAUUAUGGUGUUGGGGAUUUGUUAAUCUCUCUCUCUCUCUCUCUCUCUCUCUCUCUCUCUAUGUGAUUUGGUUGGGAUUGCAGAGUGACUUGCGUUUCUUUGUAUGCAUGUCCCGGACCUCUAGGUCACAUGGGGUAUUCAGCAAGUUCUACUUUUGCAAAGGAGAUGGAGAUGUUACAGACUUACAGUGAUACUACAAUCCAAAUAAUCUAUUUUGAAAAUCCAAAUAAUCCAUGAGUAUGUUGUAGUAAUAGAAUAACACUGGGGCUUAGCCUAGUACUUAAAUUAUUGACUUUGUUGGUUAGCCUAGUACUCUGAGUCUGUUAUAGUAGUAGUGUAGUACUUAGUUUAGUUUGUACUAUUGGAUAAAAAUACGGUUACUAGAGAAUGUCGUAUUAGACAAAACAUCUUUUACGACAGGGCUUUUACUGCUUGGGGGCUCAUGCCGUUAAUAACCGUUUACGGCGCUCUUUGUGCACCGCAAAAGACCAUUUAUGUUGUAAUGAUUUUCUCUACUUAACUAGUUCAAGGGCCAUCAUAUGGUUAGUAAAUUGAAGAUGUUUCCCUCAAUUUCAUUUAAUAACUUAAGCUUGAAUAAAUCUUGGUAAACCAUAUAUUUGGAAUAUGUCCAUUGGGAUAAAAAAAAAUCAGUGGGAUGAUCCACUUUGCUUCUUAGGUAUGCGCAUGAGCAUGUCUUGUUCUGAUUGGGAUGUUAAGGGAAAAGCUCCAAUGUAAUAAAGAAUAGUUUGUACGAAGGUCUCUCUGUCUCUUGCCUUCUUUAUUUCUAUCUCUCUUUUAUGCAACAAUGUAAUAAUUCCAAUUUGACUAUGCUGAUUUUCCUUGUUUAACAGAUCCAUGUAAAUAUUGUUUGCAUGUGCCAUUUGGAUGAGGGAAUUAUACCAUGUCACAUAACAAUAUUCAGUUAUGGAAGCUUAGAGUACAACGCUAGUGAGUACUUGAUUUGGAUGUUCUUCAACAUGUCCACUGAUGAGAUGGUCAAGCUCUUCCCUGCCAAAGCUCACAUAAGGUAAUAAACAAAUUUCUCGAUUCAAUUUUUUUGUUUGAUUUUUGGUGGAUUUAUGAAUUGGGUUUUAAUUGGAUUGCGUGGAUGUUGGAAUAUGUAAUGCAGUGUGUGGGUUAUAGUAUUAGAAUAUUUAAAGUAUGUAUUGUGCUAGCUUUGUGGCUAGUUUUGGAUCUCAGCAUAUGUGUGGUUUAGUUUAACUUCUCUGUGAACUUGUGAUUUGGUAUAUACUUUAACUUCUCUGUGAACUUGUGCUUAUGGUUCAGCUUAUAUGAUAUAGUUGUCCUUAUAAUCCUGAAAUUGUGAAACAUCAGAAUUGUUAAACUGUGCAUAUAGUUUUACUUUCCUUAUAUUUUUUAGAUUCUUUGGACUUAUGAGUAUCCUUUGAUCUUAGGGUGGUACGAGAAAAAUUGAAGAAUGUAUUGGAUGUGUGUUUAAUUUUAACUUCAACUAGUCACUUGCAUUAUUUAUGGUAUAGAUUGGUGGUUGCUAUGCUCACACCUUGAGUUAAAAUUAUGCAAGGCUCUUCAUUAGAGUUUAUGUUUAUUUUCUGAUUUUCAUUGUUUGGGUUUCUUACCAAUUAAAAAUUAUAGGGGUGUGCUAUCCACACACCCCUUGAUAAUUUCUAUCUGUUGAUCUUCUUCAAUUCAUCCGAUCUGACGGCCGAAAAUUAAAAAGGUGUGUGAGAAAUAAAAUGGGGUGUGUGGAUAUCACACCCCAAAUUAUAUUGUGCUUGAUAUAAGUUAUCUUUUUUUUUUUUUUUUUUUUUUUGCAGAAUAAAGAUAAUGAUUGUGGAUCAAUGUUCAUAGCACUACAUUCAAACUCCUUGACAGUUGGUUAAAGUGGACAUGAAAAACUAGGGUUUAAGACAUAUCAUAGGAUUGUAACAAGUACUUGUAAAAUUUGUACGUUGAUUUGUUUUGUAUAUGUCGUUUGUAUGUUGAUUUUUUUUGUAUUUGUAUGAUGUCGUUUAGACCUGGGAUGG